UAGAUGCGAGAGUAGAGCAUAUCAAUAAGCGGAGGAAAAGAAACUAACAAGGAUUCCCUUAGUAACGGCGAGUGAAGCGGGAAGAGCUCAAAUUUGAAAUCUUCAAGGUUCUACCUUGACGAAUUGUAGUUUAUAGAAGUGUUUUCUGUUAGUGGAGUGGCAAAAGUUCUUUGGAAUAGGACAUCAUAGAGGGUGAGAAUCCCGUAUUUGGUCAUUCCUCCUAGCGUUGUGAUACACUUUCAACGAGUCGGAUUGUUUGGGAAUGCUGUCCAAAAUGGGUGGUAAAUUUCAUCUAAAGCUAAAUAUUGGCGAGAGACCGAUAGCGAACAAGUACCGUGAGGGAAAGAUGAAAAGAACUUUGAAAAGAGAGUUAAACAGUACGUGAAAUUGUCAAAAGGGAAGCGUUUGACACCAGUGUUGUUUUUCCGAAAAUCAAUUACGAAUGUUUUGUUUUUGAGGAGUUAUGACUUCAUCGGCUUGCUCCUUUCUUUACUGAAACUUUCUUAAUGCACUUUUCGGUUAACAAGUCAACAUCAAUUUCUUUUGUUGUAAAAGGGUAUGAGGAAGGUGGCUUUCUUUUCGGAGAAAGUGUUUAUAGCCUUGUGCCUCUGCAAUCGGAGAGAUUGAGGUCUGCAGCGUAGAUCCUUCGGGGUUAGAUACAUUUGUGCUAAGUUAUCAGCUUUUCAUAGACAACUUGUUGACUAUGUUUAGUCUUGUAGCUUACUCGCUUAUGCUAUUUUACCUACGCUUAGGAUGUUGACACACGCGCGUGCUCG
rnacentral:rRNA from 1 species